GCGCACCUACGGGGCGCAGCAGUGGGGAAUAUUGGGCAAUGGGCGCAAGCCUGACCCAGCAACGCCGCGUGAAGGAAGAAGGCUUUCGGGUUGUAAACUUCUUUUCUCAGGGACGAAGAAAGUGACGGUACCUGAGGAAUAAGCCACGGCUAACUACGUGCCAGCAGCCGCGGUAAUACGUAGGUGGCAAGCGUUAUCCGGAUUUAUUGGGUGUAAAGGGCGUGUAGGCGGGAGGGCAAGUCAGAUGUGAAAACUCCGG
rnacentral:rRNA from 1 species